UAAAGACCAGGCAGCCUGGGAUGGAAAUGCU
rnacentral:piRNA from 1 species